AUUGAACGCUGGCGGCAUGCUUUACACAUGCAAGUCGAACGGUAACAGGCCGCAAGGUGCUGACGAGUGGCGGACGGGUGAGUAAUGCAUCGGAACGUGCCCAGUCGUGGGGGAUAACUACUCGAAAGAGUAGCUAAUACCUCAUACGAUCUAUGGAUUAAAUCGGGGGACCGUAAGGCCUCGCGCCAUUUGAGCGGCCGAUGUCAGAUUAGGUAGUUGGUGGGGUAAAGGCUCACCAAGCCAACGAUCUGUAGCUGUUCUGAGAGGACGACCAGCCACACUGGGACUGAGACACGGCCCAGACUCCUACGGGAGGCAGCAGUGGGGAAUUUUGGACAAUGGGCGCAAGCCUGAUCCAGCAAUGCCGCGUGCAGGAAGAAGGCCUUCGGGUUGUAAACUGCUUUUGUACGGAACGAAACGGCUCUGGUUAAUACCCGGAGCUAAUGACGGUACCGUAAGAAUAAGCACCGGCUAACUACGUG
rnacentral:rRNA from 1 species